rnacentral:lncRNA from 1 species
UAAUUCUUUUGAAUUUCGCUGUAAGGUCGGAUAUUCCAUUUCAAACUUAAGGCGCAUUCCUUUUACUUCCAGUAAUAUAAACUAUGUAGUUUAAUUUGUCUAACCUUGUGUGCAUAGGGUUUCUUUCACACGAGAGGUAAAGAUGUUCCUUGUAUAAUAUUUAGGUUCUGUAGUAAAAAUAUUGUUUUAAUUGGCAGUUGUUUACCUGUCAGUCACACAAGCCUUUAUAUAUAUUAGACCUUAGAUGCUACUAAGUACUAACUGUUAUCCCUUUGUAACAUAAGAGCAGAAUUUUCACUCCCUAGUUGUUCAUCAUAUUUCUCUGUGUCACGUUCUAGUUCCAACAAUGCAUGUUGAUGGUCCACCUUGUUGAUUGCAUGCUGAUAUUGUGAGAUAUUUGAUUAUGCUUGAUAAUAUUAGUAGCGAAGAGUGCCUCACAAAAUUCUUAGUUGGAGACUGAAAUUUGCGUUAGUGGUAUGUACUGAAUUUUACGGCAGUCAUAAGAUGAAAUUGUUCCUGUGAAACUGUGGACUGAAAGUGAGGAUUAUUCUGUAUCUUUACAUUACACGGGAUCAAGCUGAUCCUGGUGCUCAACAGUAUGAUAGUUUAGCCCCUGCAUAAAUCAUGGGAAAUCCCACGUGCAUGAAAAAUGAAGGACUCAAAGGUUAACAUAAUCCAAUUUAUAAAUCAUCACACGUGCAUCUUGAUUAUGUAUGAGAUUAUUCUGGAUACCGCCUCCAUUAAUUAUGUAUUAGAGAGGGAAUUUAUCUCUUGCGAUAAACUGAGGAGGGGAACAGUUAUGUUUGUCCCUGCAAUUGUGAGAUGUGUAUUUCUACAUCUGGAGUACAGCGUAACUAUUUCAGGGCUUGACAGACCAGUUUUUAUCCAGAAGAAAGGCCUUUAGCGUGCAUUUGGAUCUGAAGAAACAAAGCAAGAUAUGGCUGUCAUUCCUCCUAAGUUGGCUAGUUACUAGUAUCUCCUUGAUCUUUUGAUAAGGUAGUCUUGGCGAGUGUUUGGGCAAUAGAGAACAUAACUUGGAGCUUCCGUACGUUUGAUGAGUUCAAUGCAAUGAAACAAAUGAGCUGAACAUAUUCAAUGUUUCUAGUGGGAAUUAGUUCGUGGCCAUUCUGGUGAUAAUGGUUGUACUCCAGGUAAAAAAAUAUUAUAAUUCUUCUAUUCCACAUAUGUAGUUGUUUCGGUUAUUGUUAUAUGUUGUUUCCUUCGUAUAUAUGCAAGAUCUUAUCAUCGAGUUUCAUUGGCAAGUUAACUUUAAGAAUCAUAUUAAGCUGGCAGCUAUGGUUGGUACUGAUGGGAGUUGCUCAUUUUAGGUGCUGAUGGUCCAAGAAUUGUAAAGAUAAGGCGGGGGAACCUUAUUUGUGUGGUGGAUGCAAGUAUGUUAUGAGGUCAAUUUGUAACUUAUUAUACUGCAGUAACGGACCAAGCCAUGAAUUAGUACCAAACUUCAGGAUUGGUGAGAAGAAGCAUGAACUUAUAAUGUUGUUAGUACCCUAAUCUUGACUUGUCGCUGAUGGACCACAAUGUUCAAGCUCAGCAAAUACUCUUGAACAGCAAAAAUUAUUGGGUCUCAAAACACCUGCAAAUUAAGCCGCUUGAUGAAAGUUCAGAUAUGUGUGAAGUCUUGGCAUUCCCAUGUAAUCAGUGGUGUUCAUUUUUGAAAUACUGCUUUGUACUCCCUCCAUAACAAAAUGUAAGAUGUUUUUGUGCCCUGUGCAAACCA